rnacentral:rRNA from 1 species
CCUACGGGAGGCAGCAGUGGGGAAUAUUGCACAAUGGGCGCAAGCCUGAUGCAGCCAUGCCGCGUGUGUGAAGAAGGCCUUCGGGUUGUAAAGCACUUUCAGCGGGGAGGAAGGCGUUAAGGUUAAUAACCUUAGCGAUUGACGUUACCCGCAGAAGAAGCACCGGCUAACUCCGUGCCAGCAGCCGCGGUAAUACGGAGGGUGCAAGCGUUAAUCGGAAUUACUGGGCGUAAAGCGCACGCAGGCGGUCUGUCAAGUCGGAUGUGAAAUCCCCGGGCUCAACCUGGGAACUGCAUUCGAAACUGGCAGGCUAGAGUCUUGUAGAGGGGGUAGAACUCCAGGUGUAGCGGUGAAAUGCGUAGAGAUCUGGAGGAAUACCGGUGGCGAAGGCGGCCCCCUGGACAAAGACUGACGCUCAGGUGCGAAAGCGUGGGGAGCAAACAGGAUUAGAUACCCGGGUAGUC